rnacentral:misc_RNA from 1 species
AACGGUCUAUACCUGCGGUACCUGCGGAAGGAUCAUUAAUGAAUGUCUCGGAGGGGUUAGAUGCUGGUCUCUCACCGUGAGAGGCAGGUGCGCACCCCUCGACUUCUAAUUUUUCCACACACCUGUGCACUUGUCCUCUCACUCGUGAGGGGAUGCUCCUUCUCACACACAUGCCUGUCCAUGUAGCAUGUCUCUGAUCCCCAAGGGGUCACGAACACAAAUACAACUUUCAACAACGGA